UGCGGAAGGAUCAUUACCGAACCGCCGACACGAGUUGUUGCUGGUCUCCAAACGGGGGCACGUGCACGCUCUGUUUGUGCAUCCACUCACACCUGUGCACCUUCUGUAGUUCUGUGGCCUGGGGGACUCGUCCUCCUGCCGUGGUUCUGCAUCUUUACACUCACGCUGUGAUAAAGUCUAAUGGAAUGCAUGCCGCGUUUAACGCAAUACAAUACAACUUUCAGCAACGGAUCUCUUGGCUCUCGCAUCGAUGAAGAACGCAGCGAAAUGCGAUAAGUAAUGUGAAUUGCAGAAUUCAGUGAAUCAUCGAAUCUUUGAACGCACCUUGCGCCCUUUGGCUAUUCCGAAGGGCAUGCCUGUUUGAGUAUCAUGAACAUCUCAACUCCUCACGGUUCGCCCGUGACGAGCUUGGACUUUGGGGGUCUUGCCGGCCUGCAGGUCGGCUCCUCUCAAAUGAAUCAGCUUGCCGGUGUUUGGUGGCGUCACAGGUGUGAUAACUAUCUACGCUUGUGGUUUUCCGCCAGGUAACCUCCAGCAAUGGGGGUUCACCGGAGCUCACAAAUGUCUCUCUCCUCGGUGAGAACNGCUCUUUGAACGUUUGAUCUCAAAUCAGGUAGGACUACCCGCUGAACUUAAGCAUAUCAAUAAGCGGAGGAAAAGAAACUAACAAGGAUUCCCCUAGUAACUGCGAGUGAAGCGGGAAGAGCUCAAAUUUAAAAUCUGGCGUGCCUA
rnacentral:rRNA from 1 species